AAUCGUCUCCUCGUCUCCAUUAACUAUGCUUCUCCGUUCACUGCUCCUUCCCCAUGCGUUUUCGUGUCUCUCAAUGCUCAAUGUCUUCAAGAAAUAUCAGGCCUUUGACAGUUCAUAUUUCAAACACUUUUUCUAUUAUGUCAUUGUUCUUCUUCUUCAAUUUCUUCACCUUCCUCUUGCUAUGUUUUCUAGGGAUUUUCUUGCUUUCACCUCAAAUUCAAAACCUACUCAAUCAAUCGCAGGGAUUUAGAGUAUAACAAAUUCAUUGACGAAUAAUGAUCUUGGCGAUGGCUGAUAUGAAUUUCAACAAUUCAAUGUUGUAUCAAUUUGUUGGUGCUCGAUAACUCGAUGUUGCAUUGAGUCAGUGGUGCUCGAUUUUGAAAUCUCUUUUUUCAAGGCCUUCCAUUUUCAGUUCAUUCGUUUUGCAUCAAAGAUUGUCCUAGGUUUGUAAUCACAGCUGAAAAGACUUGUGAUUUCUUUUAUCAAGUUGUUGAGGCUGAUUUUAGCUAUGGUGAUCGUGAUGUUUAGUUUACCAUUUUCAAAAAAUGGUAUAAGAUUUAGAGUUGUGAGGAGAUUGGAAGAUGUCCUAAGAGUUUUCCGAUUUUUAUUUAUUUGUAUAAGAUGACCAUGUGGAGGCACGUGAAUUGUUCACCAGAAGGGAAUUUGCAAGAUGACUGGUUAAAUUAAAUUCUUUUCUAGAAUGGUUUGUUCUAACCAAAAGCAUGAACAUGCACGAUAGUUGGAAAUGUUUUAAACGCUGGUGAAACUUUUCUUUUUCUGUGAUUUUGUUUGUAAACGGAUUUCUUUAUGGUUCACAAAUCCAAAACCCAAGAUUACCAAUAGUUACACUCUUUGGUUCAUUGGUUACUGCUUUUGAUGAUAUCAAGGUUGAAGACACAGAUCUUGUAGCCAUUCAAGAUAACAAAUGAUUGAUUUUUACUCCUAGAAUAAAAUCUAUUUUUUCCGGGCAGAAGUUUCAUUUUUCCCCCCUCAAUUUGCAAUUAAAGCCUUGGCAGCUGGUGUUAUCCCCGGCAAAUUAUCUUCAAAAAGUUGCUUCAAUUCUAUUGUACUUGAAGGUUAAGAGAACUUGAAAUUCUUUCGUGAUAGGUAAAUUCAUACCCACCUCUUUUCCUCAUUAAUGAAUUUCUGUUUUGCUAAUUGCUUUACUAAGUAUAUGUUGUUUUUCAAUAGCAUAGAAUUAAUUAUUAUGUCACCUUAAUUUCUUAACAUUUAAGAAAUAGGUUUACUUGUAGUCACUUUUUAUGGACAUAAAAUGUAUUUUACAUUUGAAAUGAGAAUGAGAUUCAUAAAUUGUCCAAGCCUAAUGCAUGCAACAAUUAAGCAAGAGUAAAACUAAUAAACUAACGAAAUCCAAUACAUUCAUUCUUUUGAAGUCUCAAUUGAUGAACAGCAAAAAAGUAGGUCACUGUGAACUUAGUAUAACUUCAUUUCUUGGAGAGGUUAAUGUAGGUAUAAACCUAAAGAUAUCACAAAUUAAUUUACCAAGGACCUUUUUAUUCCCACUAGACACUUGAUUUUCCUGACAAAGGUAAUUAUCAAGCUUGUCAAUUGAUUUGAUAGCUUAAAUAGGUUUAGUGGUGGUGUAUCAUAGGAAAAAUGAGUGUUCUGUUAGACUCAUUUCAUUCAUACAAGAUUCCUGGCUUCUGAAUUGUAGCAAUAGUAUAGGUAUACAGAUCAUUUGACCAGGCCAUUAAAUGUGCCAAAUUUUUGUUUCUUGACUAGAUAAUUAUUUCACUAUCACACCAAUCAUCCUCCCUUCCAUUGUAAUCAUCUAGCAUUCAUUGUUCUCUGUUGGGUUUUAGAAUCAAAGUAUUCAAUUUUCCAUCAUAUUUAAAUCAUAUUAUCUCUUUGUAAAUGGACGUUUGUUUGGGGCGUGUGAUGAUAUUUCUUUUUCACAAAGAUUGCUAAAAGUAUGUCAAAGGGAAUCAUGGUAGUUGAACACGACAGAGAAGAUUGAGGCAACUGGAAAGAAAAAGGAGGAAGGGAUAUAAUAAGUAUAUUUCAAGGCUGCUAAAUAUGGCAGAGCAUCAAAAAGAUAUAAUAAGAAGAUUGACUAAUGAGUAGAGAGCAGCUAUGGUGACUAUUUUCGUGUCUACAAGGUGAUAUUCUUUAGAAAUACAAUGUGUUUGUUUUGGGGACACUUAUUUUGUUCUGUUCAGGUUGUGUUAGGGGAAAAUGGUCAAUAAAUUCCUAAUUUACUGGAUCUUGAAGAUGCUUAAAGACUAGUUGUAAGUAAUAGAGGCAAUUAUCUGAGCAAUGGCUUGGGAAAGAUUGUUAAAGAAUCAAGGAAGAUUUGAAGACGUUGUUGUCACAACUAUCUACUGCUAAAAGCAUUGACCUACUAGUAAAUUAUUUGACUUCAGGAUUGUCUGUAAAUAGUGAUGAAGCUAAGACUUUUCAUGCUUCAUUUAACACCUUAAAAUUUCAUAUUGAUU